rnacentral:miRNA from 1 species
CAAGAAGUUGUCUUAGGCAUG